rnacentral:tRNA from 1 species
GGUUCUAUGGUCUAGUGGUUAUGACUCCGGAUUUUGAUUCCGGCAUCCUGGGUUCGAAUCCCAGUAGGACCU